rnacentral:rRNA from 1 species
UACAGAGGUGGCAAGCGUUGUUCGGAAUUACUGGGCGUAAAGGGCGCGUAGGCGGCCUUCUAAGUCAGACGUGAAAUCCCUCGGCUUAACCGGGGAACUGCAUCUGAUACUGGAUGGCUUGAGAUUGGGAGAGGGAUGCGGAAUUCCAGGUGUAGCGGUGAAAUGCGUAGAUAUCUGGAGGAACACCGGUGGCGAAGGCGGCAUCCUGGACCAACACUGACGCUGAGGAGCGAAAGCCAGGGGAGCAAACGGG